AUGUUAGCAAAAUCUUAGCAAAAUCUUAGCAAUAAAAGUGAUUAUAUUUAAUCAAUUUCCUCCUUUAACACUAACAGACGUUCCUUAGCUAAGGAACGAAAGUUAGGCUUAAGAGACGGUCACGUGGCGAAAACAGAGAAACGAGAGCCGAUUUCGGGAAACUUCAAUCGGAAACAUCGGAGACUCCGGUGAUGUUUAUGACGCGGGGUGUCCACGGCGAAGAGGAGAAGCUCUAAUCGGCGAGUUUGGCAAAUCGAAAUCGAAGAGACUGUUCACAAGAUCUCCGAUUUUUUUAACAAAUCGGAGUUAUUCCUUCACCAAUCGGUUCGAAAAGAAAAAAAGUGCUUCAUUAACCAGCUAUGGAGUCCAAAUGAGACAUGAGAAGUGGAUGUUCCCGUCGAGGAAGUUCCUCUUGAGCUUCCUAAACCAGCUUUAUCGGAUUCAUGGCUGCUUUCCGUUGCAUUUUACUUUGGUAUACGUUUUGGGUUUGGUAAAAAACGAGAGCCAAGGUUCCAAGUCUGUCAAGUUGCAUCUCAAAUGCCCUUCCUAAGAUGUACUAUGAUUUCUACAAUGGAGGAGCAUCGGAGAGAUUAUCACAAUCGGAAAGAUGUACUAUGAUUCCUAAGAUAAAGUUUUGAAGAUGAAAGGAGAUUAUCAUAGAUACUUGGCUGAGUUCAAAUCUGGUCAAGAGAGGAAAUAUGCUGCAGAACAUAAAAGGACAGUACUUUGAUUAUGCAGCUUCUUCGUGAUAACCUCACUCUCUGGACUUCUGACAUGGCCGCAUAACAUAAGACAUGUUUUUGUUGCUUCUUAUCUGUAUUUGUUGUAUUCUUUAAGCUUUUGACAAAACUCAGCUUCAUUAAUCUGUGAAUUGUUUGUUUUACUUCAGUAAUAUGUGAAAAUUCUUUUUUACACCAUGAACACAAAAGACUACAACGUGUGGAUUCAAUGUUUCUCA